GGUAACCUGCCUGUAAGACUGGGAUAACUCCGGGAAACCGGAGCUAAUACCGGAUAGUUCCUUGAACCGCAUGGUUCAAGGAUGAAAGACGGUUUCGGCUGUCACUUACAGAUGGACCCGCGGCGCAUUAGCUAGUUGGUGGGGUAAUGGCUCACCAAGGCGACGAUGCGUAGCCGACCUGAGAGGGUGAUCGGCCACACUGGGACUGAGACACGGCCCAGACUCCUACGGGAGGCAGCAGUAGGGAAUCUUCCGCAAUGGACGAAAGUCUGACGGAGCAACGCCGCGUGAGUGAUGAAGGUUUUCGGAUCGUAAAGCUCUGUUGUUAGGGAAGAACAAGUGCGAGAGUAACUGCUCGCACCUUGACGGUACCUAACCAGAAAGCCACGGCUAACUACGUGCCAGCAGCCGCGGUAAUACGUAGGUGGCAAGCGUUGUCCGGAAUUAUUGGGCGUAAAGGGCUCGCAGGCGGUUUCUUAAGUCUGAUGUGAAAGCCCCCGGCUCAACCGGGGAGGGUCAUUGGAAACUGGGAAACUUGAGUGCAGAAGAGGAGAGUGGAAUUCCACGUGUAGCGGUGAAAUGCGUAGAGAUGUGGAGGAACACCAGUGGCGAAGGCGACUCUCUGGUCUGUAACUGACGCUGAGGAGCGAAAGCGUGGGGAGCGAACAGGAUUAGAUACCCUGGUAGUCCACGCCGUAAACGAUGAGUGCUAAGUGUUAGG
rnacentral:rRNA from 1 species